UUCUUUGACCUUGCGGGAAGCCAGGUAGAUGUCCUCGGUGGAGCCCAGCUCUUUCUGCAACCAACAAGUCAAGUGGACGGUUGAGGUGUGUGUUCCCUAAUCCUCCUCUUACCCACCCCGCAACAGCCACCUCCUACCAAUCCAGGAAUGCUCCUGGCGUGAGGGGAAGGGGGAAGAAAAAGACAGGAGAGAGAGGAGGGGGGCUAAUGGCUAGCUUUAAGAGAAGGUAUCUGGGACUUUUCCAUAGGCUCCAAUGGGUUGGGGAAGGACACUGAGGAGUCCCCCAACCUUUCUUUAAGAAAUUAUCCAUUCUGGACAAUGAGGGAAGGGGCUGUGUCAGCGGGUCAGGGCAUGACUGAUCCCUGUGGCUUUGGGCAAUGUGAUACAACCUACCGUGUCUCCCACAGAAUCAACUCCCACUCCCACUGCCCAACCCAGAGGCCUUCCUCAGGCUUAUGCUGAGAAGCUGGUUGCAAACCCCCAGAGGGAACAGCUACUGACUCCUAGGGACUUUAGGCACAGCCCAAGAUGCCCAGGUGGAGAGCAUCCACAAGUUCAGAGCCCACCCCCAGCUUCUAGCAUCUGCCAGAAGGACUUGAGGCUCUUCGAGGAGGUAUAACUGAGGUCCGGAACCAGAAAGCGUUGCACUUGUCCAACAUACCAAUUAGGAUUUUAACUACAUCAACAUCUGACUAUGCAAAUGAAAACAGUAGCAAGAAUAGCUGGAAAAUAAUUGUCUACUUGGCUUUGGAAUGCAACAUAAUGAAUCGAGAGCCAAUUUAUCUCCUUUAAGGGCAAGUGGCUCAAACUCAUACUGAAAGUUAAGUAAAAGCUUAAAAUUAAAAAUUAGUAUGUUAAUGUAAGGCCUUCUUAUUAACUGAUGUAAAUUUAAAUUUGUUUCUCUGUGUUUCUCUAUCCAAGGUCAAUAAACUAUGGUAAACCAGAAGGCCUUAGGCUCUGACAACCUUAUCCAGCAACCUCAUGAUUGAAUGGUCAGGUUCUACACAUCAGUGGUCAGCAAACUUUCUACAAAGGGCCAGAGUAAAUAUUUUAGGUUUUACACACCAUGCACAGUCUCUGUCACUUAUACUUGUGUUUAAUGUUUAAAAUGUAAAAAUUAUUAUUAGUUCACGGGCCAUACACAAAUAAGCUGGAGGACUGGAGUCAGCCCAUGCACAAUAGUUUGCUGACCCUCGUUCUAUGUUAAUGUGUUUAAAUUCCCCAUCUAUCCAACCCAUACAGUGGAUCGUCGAGAGUCGAGAACAUGCCCAAUACACCUGUGCUGGCUGUCCAAGAGAAUAAUCACUAGCCACGUGUCAUGUGGCUAUUUAAAUUUAAAUGAAACAACCUUUAAGGUUCAAUUCCUUGGUCGUACUAGCCAUGUGUCAAGUACUCCAUAGCCACAUUGAACAGUAACGAAAUGGCACUUUUUUCAUUAGCUUAGAGAGUUCUGUUGGACAGUGCUGCCCCAGACUCAUUUGGGGAUGACUAGGUUGUGAAAGGGAGCUGAAGUUUCGCUGGUGAGACCAGAGAGAGAUGAGGAAGGUGGAGGAAGACAGGGCAAAGGCUGGCCACU